GUACAGUCGAUGAUCGGGAGAGUAGUAAAGGGGCACUGAGCCUGCAGCGAGCCGGAAGGGUGAAAGCCGGCGGCCUUCCCUUUACAAAGCGCACCCGGGAGACGGACUUCCGAAAGGUCCAGUAGGAAGCCCCGGGAACAGGCCCGUUAUGCCUUAAGGUGGCCGGAUUGCGUUCAAUCAGCAUGUCCGGCAAGCAGAGUGGUACCGCGAGAACACAAGUCCUCGUCUCUUUA
rnacentral:ncRNA from 1 species